rnacentral:rRNA from 1 species
CCUACGGGAGGCAGCAGUGAGGAAUAUUGGUCAAUGGGCGCGAGCCUGAACCAGCCAAGUAGCGUGAAGGAUGACUGCCCAACGGGUUGUAAACUUCUUUUAUAAAGGAAUAAAGUGAGGCACGUGUGCCUUUAUGUAUGUACUUUAUGAAUAAGGAUCGGCUAACUCCGUGCCAGCAGCCGCGGUAAUACGGAGGAUCCGAGCGUUAUCCGGAUUUAUUGGGUUUAAAGGGAGCGUAGAUGGGUUGUUAAGUCAGUUGUGAAAGUUUGCGGCUCAACCGUAAAAUUGCAAUUGAUACUGGCAGUCUUGAGUACAGUUGAGGUAUGCGGAAUUCGUGGUGUAGCGGUGAAAUGCUUAGAUAUCACGAAGAACUCCGAUUGCGAAGGCAGCUUACUAAACUGCCACUGACAUUGAUGCUCGAAAGUGUGGGUAUCAAACAGGAUUAGAUACCCGAGUAGUC